rnacentral:lncRNA from 1 species
GCUCUCUCGGGGCUCGGGAGCGCCCCCUGGCGGCGGACAUCGGCAUCGCAACCACGGCGGGGAGGGAACCGCUCUCCCGGGCCCGGCCGGGCGGGAGCUCCCGAUCCACGGCUGCUUCUCGGCUUGAUGCGUUGUGCGAAGCUGAGGUCACGGAGCUGCUGAAGGACAAGGGCAGCAUGCUGCUGGCUCCCCAGGCUCGGCACCUCCUCCCAGGCAGUCACUCCCCGUUGCACAGGAGGAGAGCGAACGCUUUAUGCCACAUUCGCCACGCGGAGGUGAGCUGCUGAGGACUCCUUCACCCCUGAGCUUCAGCAAUCUGAAAUACAGCGCAAAG